GACGAACGCUGGCGGCGUGCUUAACACAUGCAAGUCGAACGGAAAGGCCCCUUUGGGGGUACUCGAGUGGCGAACGGGGGAGUAACACGUGAGUAACCUGCCCUUGACUUCGGGAUAACUUCAGGAAACUGGGGCUAAUACCGGAUAGGAAUCCUUGCUGCAUGGUGGGGGUUGGAAAGCUUCGGCGGUUUUGGAUGGACUCGCGGCUUAUCAGCUUGUUGGUGGGGUAGUGGCUUACCAAGGCUUUGACGGGUAGCCGGCCUGAGAGGGCGACCGGCCACAUUGGGACUGAGAGACGGCCCAGACUCCUACGGGAGGCAGCAGUGGGGAAGAUUGCACAAUGGGCGGAAGCCUGAUGCAGCAACGCCGCGGGCGGGAGGACGGCCUUCGGGUUGUAAACCGCUUUCAGCAGGGGCGAAGCUUGUGGUGACGGUACCUGCAGAAGAAGCACCGGCUAACUACGUG
rnacentral:rRNA from 1 species